GACGAACGCUGGCGGCGUGCUUAACACAUGCAAGUCGAACGGAAAGGCCCUGCUUUUGUGGGGUGCUCGAGUGGCGAACGGGUGAGUAACACGUGAGUAACCUGCCCUUGACUUUGGGAUAACUUCAGGAAACUGGGGCUAAUACCGGAUAGGAGCUCCUGCUGCAUGGUGGGGGUUGGAAAGUUUCGGCGGUUGGGGAUGGACUCGCGGCUUAUCAGCUUGUUGGUGGGGUAGUGGCUUACCAAGGCUUUGACGGGUAGCCGGCCUGAGAGGGUGACCGGCCACAAUGGGACUGAGGUACGGCCCAGACUCCAACGGGAGGCAGCAGUGGGGAAUAUUGCACAAUGGGCGGAAGCCUGAUGCAGCAACGCCGCGGGCGUGAUGACGGCCUUCGGGUUGUAAACCGCUUUCGCCUGUGACGAAGCGUGAGUGACGGUAAUGGGUAAAGAAGCACCGGCUAACUACGUG
rnacentral:rRNA from 1 species